AAGAGACGUUGCCCUUCGGGGUAUACCUCCCACCCUUUGUUUAUUAUACCUUUGUUGCUUUGGCGGGCCCGUCCUCGGACCACCGGCUUCUGCUGGUCAGUGCCCGCCAGAGGACCUAAGACUCUGUUUGUUAAUAUUGUCUGAGUACUAUAUAAUAGUUA
rnacentral:misc_RNA from 1 species